CGACUCAUUUAUUCUCUUCCUUCAAGACUUUGCUCAAAUACAAUUUUCAUAGUACAUUGUGUUUAUAACCCACUUUCUUUCAUGUAAUAAUAACUGUGAAGAUUUUCAUAUCCAGUUAAUAUUCCCACUUACUGCCUAUGUGCCAUUUAUCACCUACACCAACAGAGUUAUUAAGAGGACUGCCACAAGUAAAGUUACAGAAUAAUUCAUCUGAAAGCUAAAUUAAACCUAAAACACAUCAUAUUUUCCCUCCUUUAUUCAUGGUAAAUGCUGUUAUCUCUACCAUUUGGCCUCCAGCAGCAAUUUAUGUUCAUAAAGAAUUUCCAUCCAGGAGAGAAAAUGGCACUCCACUUUUCGCUUUCAAUUUUUUAUAAUGUGUGAUGUGCUUCACAGGAUUUCACUGCUUUCUCUGACCACAAACAAACAGUGGAACUGAAUGGCCUGUGUCUACUGCCACCCUGCUUGUACUUCCCAGCUUUCUUUCAUGGUUGUCUCUAUACAGAAGACAUGUAAGCAUGGAAAACAAUAAGAUCAUAAGCAUGUCACAGUAAGAUCAUAUGGAGUAACCUUUUUCUCACUCUUAAUUGCAAAUGAAGUUUGUAUAAUGAAAUGUUUGGAAUUACAAAUUAAAACCACCAGACACCAUUUCACAC
rnacentral:lncRNA from 10 species